UUUGUUGUGACGUCAUACGAAACAAACAAUACGCUCCAAUUGUUCAUUUGUCUAUUGUUGGUUACAUUGUUUGAACAGAGAUAACUCCAGUAAUUCCGACUUUUCUUUGCUCCACUUCGACGUUUCUCACUAAUAUUUCGAUUAGGAACUUAUCUGUAAGAUGUCCGUUUAGAAAGGCAGUUGGGACGUCUAUCUAACGUAGUUUCCAGUUAUGCUGUACUGCCACAGAAAGUAAAAUUCUAAUUGUAGACAUCCUACAGACUGGCUCAUAGCUAAAUUCUCCUCCUUCAUAAGCUAUCUGGCCUUCUGGCAAUUAUACGGGUGUCCACGUUUGAAGUUUCUGAUGAGAAUCUAAUUCUUUCUCUAAAGCUUUCUUCCACUCUGCUUCCUGGUACGUUUUAGGCCUUUCUAUCGAUGAUAACAAACAAUAUGCUGUAUAUAAUUCAAAAUCAUUUAAAUGGUUUCGAAUUAGAGAAUUCUUACUUCAAAUGAUGAAAAUCAUGUGCUUCGGGUGAAGGAAAAAAUGGAAAAUGGUAUCCGGAAUGUGCAUUCAAAGUUGAAAGAAUAGCAAUUGUGAACCAUAGCCAGGAAGUUGC